rnacentral:rRNA from 1 species
AGGGCGCAUGGUGGAUGCCUUGGCAAUAGAAGUCGAUGAAGGACGUGACAAACUACGAUAUGCCUCGGGGAGCAGUAAGUAUGCUUUGAUCCGGGGAUCUCUGAAUGCGGAAACGCGCUUGCAGUAAUGUGCAAGCAUCCUAGAGUGAAUUCAUAGCUCUAGUGAGGACAACUCAGGGAACUGAAACAUCUUAGUACCUGAAGGAAAAGAAAGAAAAAUCGAUUACCUUAGUAGUGGCGAGCGAAACGGUAAGAGCCCAAACCAGUCUUAGGACUGGGGUUGUAGGACACUAUAUACGGAGUUACAAAAUUACUAGAUAGCCGAACAACUUGGAAAGGUUGGCCGGAGAGGGUGAAAGGCCCGUAGGCAAAAUUUAGUAAUCUCUUUAGUGGAUCCUGAGUACAGCGGGACACGAGUAAUCUUGCUGGAAUCUACGGGGACCAUCCCGUAAGGCUAAAUACUCUCUAUUGACCGAUAGUGAACAAGUACCGUGAGGGAAAGGUGAAAAGAACCCCGGGAGGGGAGUGAAAUAGAACACUGAAACCGUGUGCUUACAAGAAGUUCGAGCCCGUUAAUGGGUGAGAGCGUGCCUUUUGCAGAAUGAGCCGGCGAGUUAUGGUAUAGUGCAAGGUUAAGCGGAAUACGCGGAGCCGAAGCGAAAGCGAGUCUUAAUAGGGCGAUUCAGUACUAUGCUAUAGACCCGAAACCGAGUGAUCUAGCCAUGAGCAGGGUGAAGUAAGGGUGAAACCUUAUGGAGGCCCGAACCAGGACACGUUGUAAAGUGUUUGGAUGACUUGUGGCUAGCGGUGAAAUUCCAAUCGAACUCGGAUAUAGCUGGUUCUCCCCGAAAUAGGUUUAGGCCUAGCCUUUGAUGAUGCUACCUGGAGGUAGAGCACUGAAUAUGGAAUGGCGGCGUCUAGCUGUACUGACUGUAAUCAACCUCCGAAUGCCAGGCAAGUUAAUCAAGGAGUCAGUGUGUGGGUGAUAACGUUCAUACGCGAGAGAAAAUCAAUUCAGACCGUCAGCUAAGGUCCCUAAAUGUAUGUUAAGUGGAAAAGGAUGUAAGAUUGCACUAACAGCUAGGAGGUUGGCUCAGAAGCAGCCAUCCUUUAAAGAGUGCGUAAUAGCUCACUAGUCGAGUGGUCUUGCGCCGAAAAUGUACCGGGGCUUAAACAUACUACCGAAGCUACGGGUUUACACUUAUGUGUAAGCGGUAGGGGAGCGUUCUAAGGGCGCUGAAGAUAGAUCGUGAGGACUAUUGGAGCGCUUAGAAGUGAGAAUGCCGGUGUGAGUAACGUAAGGCUGGUGAGAAUCCAGCCCACCGAUCGACCAAGGGUUCCGGGGUAAAGUUCGUCUCCCCCCGGGUUAGUCAGGACCUAAGGCGAGGCAGAAAUGCGUAGUCGAUGGACAACAGGUUUAUAUUCCUGUACUGCCUAUGAGACUGAUGGAGUGACGGAGAAAGCUAGGAAGGGCCAGUUAUUGGAUUCUGGUCUAAGUGCGUAGGUCAUUGCGUAGGAAAAUCCGCGACAAUGUUAAGACUGAAACAUGAUGGCGUCUGUUCCCUCGGGAACAUAAGUCUUCUGAAGCUAUGCUUCCAAGAAAAACUUCUAAAGAUAUCUUAUAGGUACCUGUACCAAGAACCAACACAGGUGGUCAAGGAGAGAAUCUUAAGGUGAGCGAGAGAACUAUGGUCAAGGAACUCGGCAAAAUGACCCCGUAACUUCGGAAUAAGGGGAGGUGCUUUCGGGCACCCGCAGUGAAUUGUCCCAGGCAACUGUUUACCAAAAACACAGGUCUCUGCUAAAGCGCAAGCUGAUGUAUAGGGGCUGACGCCUGCCCAGUGCUGGAAGGUUAAGAUGAUUUGUUAGCUGGACGUAAGUCGAUAACAGCGAAGCUUUGAUUUGAAGCCCCAGUGAACGGCGGCCGUAACUAUAACGGUCCUAAGGUAGCGAAAUUCCUUGUCAGGUAAGUUCUGACCCGCACGAAAGGCGUAAUGAUCUGGGAGCUGUCUCGACCAUAGACUCGGUGAAAUCUUAAUACCUGUGAAAAUGCAGGUUACCCGCGAUAGGACGGAAAGACCCCAUGGAGCUUUACUGUAGCUUGAUAUUGGAAUCAGAUAAUUUUUGUAGAGGAUAGGUGGUAGGCUUUGAAGUGUAGACGCCAGUUUACAUGGAGCCACCCUUGGAAUACCACCCUGAAGUUGUUUGAUUUCUAACUCGCACCCAUUAUCUGGGUGGAGGACAGUGUCUGGUGGGCAGUUUGACUGGGGCGGUCGCCUCCCAAAGAGUAACGGAGGCGCCCAAAGGUUCCCUCAGCAUGGAUGGAAAUCAUGCGAAGAGUGUAAUAGUAUAAGGGAGCUUGACUGUGAGACUUACAAGUCGAGCAGGUACGAAAGUAGGGUAUAGUGAUCAGGCGGUUGAAUAUGGAAUUGCCGUCGCUUAACGGAUAAAAGUUACCCUGGGGAUAACAGGCUGAUACCACCCAAUAGUUCACAUAGACGGUGGUGAUUGGCACCUCGAUGUCGGCUCGUCACAUCCUGGAGGUGGAUUCGCUUCCAAGGGUUGGGCUGUUCGCCCAUUAAAGUGGCACGCGAGCUGGGUUCAGAACGUCGCGAGACAGUUCGGUCCCUAUCCAUCGUGGGCGUAGGAAAAUUGAGAAGGGCUGUUCCUAGUACGAGAGGACCGGAAUGGACAUACCUCUGGUGUAUCUGUUGUAACGCCAGUUGCAGUGCAGAGUAGCUAUGUAUGGAAGGGAUAAUCGCUGAGAGCAUCUAAGCGAGAAGCCCUCUUCAAGAUGAGUUUUCCCAUAUUUUAUAUAGUAAGAUCCCUUGU